rnacentral:rRNA from 1 species
GACGAACGCUGGCGGCGUGCCUAAUACAUGCAAGUCGAGCGAAUUCUUUGGAGCUUGCUCCAAAGAAAUUAAGCGGCGGACGGGUGAGUAACACGUGGGCAAUCUGCCCGUAAGACUGGGAUAACUCCGGGAAACCGGGGCUAAUACCGGAUAAUCCCGACUCUCUCCUGAGAGUCGGUUGAAAGAUGGUUUCGGCUAUCACUUACGGAUGAGCCCGCGGCGCAUUAGCUAGUUGGUGAGGUAACGGCUCACCAAGGCGACGAUGCGUAGCCGACCUGAGAGGGUGAUCGGCCACACUGGGACUGAGACACGGCCCAGACUCCUACGGGAGGCAGCAGUAGGGAAUCUUCCGCAAUGGACGAAAGUCUGACGGAGCAACGCCGCGUGAGUGAAGAAGGUUUUCGGAUCGUAAAACUCUGUUGUUAGGGAAGAACACGUACGAGAGUAACUGCUCGUACCUUGACGGUACCUAACCAGAAAGCCACGGCUAACUACGUG